rnacentral:rRNA from 1 species
GCGUAACGCGUAUGCAAUCUACCUUUUACAGAGGGAUAGCCCAGAGAAAUUUGGAUUAAUACCUCAUAGUAUAUAGCCCUGGCAUCAGGAUUAUAUUAAAGUCACAACGGUAAAAGAUGAGCAUGCGUCCCAUUAGCUAGUUGGUAAGGUAACGGCUUACCAAGGCUACGAUGGGUAGGGGUCCUGAGAGGGAGAUCCCCCACACUGGUACUGAGACACGGACCAGACUCCUACGGGAGGCAGCAGUGAGGAAUAUUGGACAAUGGGCGCAAGCCUGAUCCAGCCAUGCCGCGUGCAGGAUGACGGUCCUAUGGAUUGUAAACUGCUUUUAUACGAGAAGAAACACUCCUUCGUGAAGGAGCUUGACGGUAUCGUAAGAAUAAGGAUCGGCUAACUCCGUGCCAGCAGCCGCGGUAAUACGGAGGAUCCAAGCGUUAUCCGGAAUCAUUGGGUUUAAAGGGUCCGUAGGCGGUUUAAUAAGUCAGUGGUGAAAGCCCAUCGCUCAACGGUGGAACGGCCAUUGAUACUGUUAGACUUGAAUUAUUAGGAAGUAACUAGAAUAUGUAGUGUAGCGGUGAAAUGCUU